rnacentral:lncRNA from 1 species
AUUCUCUUACUUGAUUUACAUUGAAAGAUAUGUGUACCACACCGAACAAGUAAUAUGCCGAUAUGCUUGAUGUACCAGCCAAGCCAGCUCGACCGUAUACAGUAAAAGGGAUUCGCCUUUGCCUCAGACAGAAGAACAACGGAUUGAACAGGACAACCGGGAAGGGAAGCCUGACAUAGUAGAUAUUGAUUUGAACAAAGGAACUGAAACCGGUACCAGAAACCAAGCAAGAGAUGGAAUUCAAAAUGAAACAGAUGACCAACCUACAAUAAGAAAGACGAAAACGGAAUUAGGAAUUCCAUUCUCUAAGACGAACUAAAGGAAUGUCUCUA